UACGAAGGGGGCUAGCGUUGCUCGGAAUCACUGGGCGUAAAGGGUGCGUAGGCGGGUCUUUAAGUCAGGGGUGAAAUCCUGGAGCUCAACUCCAGAACUGCCUUUGAUACUGAAGAUCUUGAGUUCGGGAGAGGUGAGUGGAACUGCGAGUGUAGAGGUGAAAUUCGUAGAUAUUCGCAAGAACACCAGUGGCGAAGGCGGCUCACUGGCCCGAUACUGACGCUGAGGCCACGAAGCAUGGGUAUCGAAUGGG
rnacentral:rRNA from 1 species